rnacentral:lncRNA from 1 species
CGGAAACGUGAGCGACGUUGGAUUAAAAUUAGCGAAAGCAUGCGAUUGGGUCAGUUGGGAUGUCUCUAAUGUGAUUAGGGACUAAGAUGAAUUGAUGUUUGUUCUUCACUCUUGGUGUUGUGUCGGGCGGCCGACAACAUAAUGCUUUGGAGUGAGGAUGGAUACAUAAGUUGCUUUCGCCGAAUUGGUUAUGGUUGAGUAAUAUUGAUCGUGUAGUUAAUGUGAGUUGCUUCAUUUCAGGAAGCAAUGGCUCGUGGUGGACCUCGAACA